GACGAACGCUGGCGGCGUGCUUAACACAUGCAAGUCGAACGAGAGCGUAGAGAAAGCUUGCUUUUUCUACAAUCUAGUGGCAAACGGGUGAGUAACGCGUAAACAACCUGCCCUACGGAUGGGGACAACAGCUGGAAACGGCUGCUAAUACCGAAUACGUUCCGAAAGUCGCAUGGCUAUCGGAAGAAAGGAUGGCCUCUAUUUAUAAGCUAUCGCCGGAGGAGGGGUUUGCGUCUGAUUAGCUAGUUGGAGGGGUAACGGCCCACCAAGGCGACGAUCAGUAGCCGGUCUGAGAGGAUGAACGGCCACAUUGGAACUGAGACACGGUCCAGACUCCUACGGGAGGCAGCAGUGGGGAAUCUUCCGCAAUGGGCGAAAGCCUGACGGAGCAACGCCGCGUGAGUGAAGACGGCCUUCGGGUUGUAAAGCUCUGUUAUACGGGACGAAUAAUCUUGUGGUUAAUACCCAUGAGAAGUGACGGUACCGGAAGAGAAAGCCACGGCUAACUACGUG
rnacentral:rRNA from 1 species